CCCCCCAACUCGGCCAUCCAGUCCGUCUCCCAUAACUGUAUAUUGAACCAGCCUGAGCACCACACGCAUUAAGUUUGUGAUGUCACGGGGGAGGAGAGGCCCCAGUGCAGCCAAAGUUUGUAGUGCAUUUAAUGUCAGAGGUGAUUUCAAGCCUCUUAUCCAUAAAUUCCACCAGGCGCGUAACACCCCCGGGGUCAGGCGGCACCCAUUCGGGACCACGAUCACUCACAAUCACCCGGAAUGCCUCUGGAACUAUACCCUUCCCCCUGCACUCAAAGCCAAUCCCUUCUUUCUCCUCUACACUAUCACUCGCACCACCGCCCCUGGGAGUGACCAGAGACGGUAGGCUACGCCCCCUGUCCGCAUUGGACGGACCUUUUGUCUGGUCCCUCCCCAUGUGGGCAGUAAGUUGAUCCUGCCCAUGUAGAUCACAGCUUCCUCCGCCCCCUUGAGUCAGGUAACACUGAUCAUUGGUUCAGGCUGUGACCCUGGAAUUCCACUACACUAGGCGAGGCAAGUAGAGGCUAGGGGAGGCAGGGCGAGGCGAGGCAAAGGUGAGGCAAGGCGAGGCAAUGCGAGGAGAGGCACGGCAAGGCAAGGCGAGUUGAGGCGAGGUGAGGCAAGGCAAGGUAAGGCGAGACGAGGCGAGGCGAGACGAGGCGAGGCGAGGUGAGGCGAGGCAAUGGCGCAACGAGGCGAGGAGAGGCAAAGGCAAGGUGAGGCUAGGCAAAGGAGAGGCGUGGCGAGGAGAGGCUAGGCAAGAUGAGAAUAGGCGAUGCGAGGCGGGGCAGGGCGGGGCGAGGGGAAGUGAGGCGGGGUGAGGCUAGGCGAGGCGGGGCGAAAUGAGGCGGGAUGGGGCAGGAUGGGGCGAGGCUAAGCAUGGCGGGGUGAGGCGGGGCGAGGUGGGGCGAGGGAAUACAUGGCAGGUGAGGCUAGGCGGAGCGGGUGGUGGCGAGGCGGGGCGAGUCGAGGCGUGGCAGGCUGGGUAGGGCAGGGCGGUGUGAGGGGAAGCGAGGCGGGGCAAGGUGGGGCGAGAUGGGGCGAGAUGGGGCGAGGCGAGGCGUGGCAUGUGAGGCUGGGCAAGGCGGGGUGAGGCUAGGCGGGGUGGGGCGCGGCAGGGCGAGGCGAGGCUGGGCGAGGCUAGGCGGGGUGAGGCAGGGCGGGUCGAGGCGUGGUGGGGCGAGU
ensembl:lncRNA